ensembl:lncRNA
CUUCCACCAAGGCAGCACAGGCGGGAUGUGGAGGACUGCUGCCGCCCUGCGACAGUUUCCAGCAGGGUGCCCAUUGGAGAGGGGCGGGAUUGAUGUUCACGGACUGUUUCCCUACAGAGAGACAGGGAAAAUCUACCACAGAAAAGAAUGGAGAAACUUGCCUUGAUGACAAACUCCGGUGUGGGUUUUCAAAGAUCAGUAUAUAAACAAAAACAUUGUCCCCUCUAUAGAGGCCAUUUAUCAAGUCUACAGAGG